rnacentral:rRNA from 1 species
UACCUCAUAAUGAAUGAUUCCAUACUUCUAUGGAGGACACCAUGCUGGGAUUAGUAACAAGAAAAUAUUCUCCUAAAUGCAAACAUAAACCAAAAAGGACAGGCCAUUGGUAAUUAUCGAAUUUGAGACCACUGCAGAAACACUUACAAGAAAAUCCUACAGAAUUUAAUCGUUAACCUUACACCAGCGCAUUUCAGGAAAGAUUAAAAGAAAGAGAAGGAACUCGGCAAAUAACAACCCCGCCUGUUUACCAAAAACAUCGCCUCUUGUCUUAUUAUAGGAGGUCUAGCCUGCCCAGUGAGUUUUUAACGGCCGCGGUAUCCUAACCGCGCGAAGGUAGCAUAAUCACUUGUUCUUUAAAUGAGGACUUGUAUCAACGGCAUCACGAGGGUUUUACUGUCUCCUCUUUCUGAUCAGUGAAAUUGAUCUUCCCGUGAAGAAGCGGGAAUUUACAUAUAAGACGAGAAGACCCCAUGGAGCUUCAAACCUGACAACAACUUAACCGUGAACCCCCUAAUAGUUAUAAAGUAAUGCUGUAAGGUUUUGGGUUGGGGUGACCACGGAGUAAAACACAACCUCCAUGGCGAAAAGGCCACAAUCUUUAUUUAAGAACAACAAUUCUAGAAAUUAGGACACUAACGCUUUAUGAUCCGACAAUCGAUCAACGGACCAAGUUACCCUGGGGAUAACAGCGCAAUCUACUUCAAGAGCCCAUAUCGACAAGUAGGCUUACGACCUCGAUGUUGGAUCAGGAUAUCCCAGUAGUGCAGCCGCUACUAAAGGUUCGUUUGUUCAACGAUUAAAAUCCUACGUGAUC